rnacentral:lncRNA from 1 species
AAGAAAUCGCCAUUCUAAAAUUUUUGGUCCAUACAAUUAGUCUCUGACGUUAAAUGCCACUAACGGAUUGCUUACGUGGCAAGACAGGUGAAUUUUUUUUUUAUAUUUUUUAUUUUCAUGAAAUACAACGUGUAAAAUGCCACAGUUUAAAGCUGAGUCAUUUUCAUUUUGACAUAAAUCACUCUUCCUCCAAGCCUCGUUCCUCUUUG